ACUUAUGGAGAACAGGCCAAAACCCAAAUAAGAAAACAAACCACAGAUGACAUCCUUGUGGCCUCAGCAGAGUGUCCCAGCGAUGAUGAGGACAUUGACCCCUGUGAGCCGAGCUCAGGUGGGUUAGCCAACCCAACCCGAGCAGGCGGCAGAGAGCCGUAUCCAGGAUCAGCAGAAGUGAUCCGGGAGUCCAGCAGCACCACGGGUAUGGUCGUUGGGAUAGUAGCCGCUGCCGCCCUGUGCAUCCUUAUCCUCCUCUAUGCCAUGUACAAGUACAGAAACCGGGAUGAAGGCUCAUACCAUGUGGACGAGAGUCGAAACUACAUCAGUAACUCAGCACAGUCCAAUGGGGCUGUUGUAAAGGAGAAACAACCCAGCAGUGCGAAAAGCUCCAACAAAAAUAAGAAAAACAAGGAUAAAGAGUAUUAUGUCUGAUCCCAAGAUCUUAAAUGGACACUUGUAUAGAAAUAGUCUUCAUUUUAUCUGAGACAUAAUAUAAACUUACUUACUUUCCUUUUUAUGAAGCACAUACAAAAGAAGACAGGGAAUGCAAUCAGGAAGGAAAGACUUUUUAAAAAAUAAAAACAAGUAUCUCAUGCUCUUGUUUCUCAAAAAAGAAAAAC
rnacentral:sRNA from 1 species